rnacentral:rRNA from 1 species
GCAAGUCGAGCGGCAGCACGAUAAAGCUUGCUUUAUUGGUGGCGACCGGCGCACGGGUGAGUAACGCGUAUGCAACCUACCUUAUACAGGAAGAUAGCCCGAAGAAAUUCGGAUUAAUACUCCAUAGUAUUAUUAGAUAGCAUUAUUUAAUAAUUAAAGCUCCGGCGGUAUAAGAUGGGCAUGCGUCCUAUUAGCUAGAUGGUAAGGUAACGGCUUACCAUGGCAACGAUAGGGAGGGGGUGUGAGGGGAUGGU